rnacentral:lncRNA from 1 species
AAAGCAGAGGCUCUUACAUCUCUCACACCGCCACUUGGAGUUUUUCGAGGACUUCGGACUUAGGCCUUUUGGGAUUUGGAGUUCCGCAGGGUGGAAGCUAAAGGAGGUGCAUCUUAACUACACGGCCCCGGUUUCCUUCACACACAACCCAUUUGGAGCUGGGUCUGGAGAAACCUGUAACAGUCUAUGGCCCUACCACUUGGACGCAUCAUAUCUCAGAAGCUAAACAGAGUCCGGCCUGGCUAGCAUUUGGUUGGAUUAGAGAUUAGUCACCGUGAGGAAGCCAAAUCGGAUCCGGGAGUCUUUUUCUAAAGGCCAGUACUGGCCACAUUUUCUCCUGCCGCCUUCCUCAAAGCUGAAGACAUACAGAGCAAGUUAAGCCUUCUCUCUUCAACUAGCUGUAGAGAUAUUAAUGAACAGAAGAGCCAUCAAAAGAAGGAGGAAAUGGAGAGCAAAGGGAACUGGUAAUGCAGUGGCCAGGAAGGCACCUUUCCUCUGUAGACAAGAGGCAGCUUCAAGGUGUGCUGCUGGCAUUUCCCAGCACGUCCUUUUGUGAAUAAGGCCAGAACCCCAGGAUAGGCUUUAGCGCACUAGCCCUGGGUCCCUACAGUUACGGAUUAAAUAUUUCUGCAAGGCUAACACUAUCUCCACUGUGUCCUACCAUGUUAACUAUAGAUGUGGCAUAGCUUUCUUAAUCAUUCAAGCUUAGGGUCAUGGAAUCUAUGGUUAAAAGAAGACUAACUCACCGGGUAGUCAUGACAAUCACCAAAACUUUUUGCUCCCAAACCAUAAGCCAGAAGUCACGAUAGGUGUUCUCCAAAGGACCUGGAAUGAAAGGACAGGAGGGAGAGCGGGCCUUUAGAAGCAUGUCUGUCUUCCUCUACUUGUCUUCCAAAUAGGAUCUCUGAAGUACAGACUGAAACAGGAUCUCACUCAUAUAGACUCAGACUCACUAUAGUCCAGCCUGUCCUUGAACUCUGUCUCCACCGCCCAAGUACUAAGAUUACAAGUAUUCAUAUGAGCCUUGUCUUAGCUCUCCUUAUUCAGCAAGGUCCUCAAACCAACCAUAUCAUCUCUG